AUUGAACGCUGGCGGCAGGCCUAACACAUGCAAGUCGAGCGGGACGACGGACGGGUGAGUAAUACAUAUGAAGCUGCCUGGUAGUGGGGGAUAACGUUCGGAAACGGACGCUAAUACCUCAUACUUUACAUUGAGCCUAGGUCGGAUUAGCUAGUUGGUGAGUUAAGGGCUCACCAAGGCUACGAUCCGUACCUGGUCUGAGAGGAUGAUCAGUCACACUGGAACUGAGACACGGUCCAGACUCCUACGGGAGGCAGCAGUGGGGAAUAUUGCACAAUGGGCGAAAGCCUGAUGCAGCCAUGCCGCGUGUGUGAAGAAGGUCUUCGGAUUGUAAAGCACUUUCAGUUGGGAGGCGUUACCGGCAGAAUAAGCACCGGCUAACUCUGUGCCAGCAGCCGCGGUAAUAC
rnacentral:rRNA from 1 species